UGGGGAAUAUUGCACAAUGGGGAAAACCCUGAUGCAGCGACGCCGCGUGAGUGAAGAAGUAUUUCGGUAUGUAAAGCUCUAUCAGCAGGGAAGAAGAAAGACGGUACCUGACUAAGAAGCCCCGGCUAACUACGUGCC
rnacentral:rRNA from 1 species